rnacentral:tRNA from 1 species
GGAAAUGUGCCUGAACAAAAGGGUAACUUUGAUAGAGUUAACAAUAGAGAUUAAACCCUCUCAUUUCCU